rnacentral:rRNA from 1 species
UGGGGAAUAUUGGACAAUGGGCGCAAGCCUGAUCCAGCCAUGCCGCGUGUGUGAAGAAGGCCUUAUGGUUGUAAAGCACUUUAAGCGAGGAGGAGGCUACUUUAGUUAAUACCUAGAGAUAGUGGACGUUACUCGCAGAAUAAGCACCGGCUAACUCUGUGCCAGCAGCCGCGGUAAUACAGAGGGUGCAAGCGUUAAUCGGAUUUACUGGGCGUAAAGCGCGCGUAGGCGGCUAAUUAAGUCAAAUGUGAAAUCCCCGAGCUUAACUUGGGAAUUGCAUUCGAUACUGGUUAGCUAGAGUGUGGGAGAGGAUGGUAGAAUUCCAGGUGUAGCGGUGAAAUGCGUAGAUAUAGGAAGGAACACCAGUGGCGAAGGCGACCACCUGGGCUCAUACUGACACUGAGGUGCGAAAGCGUGGGGAGCAAACAGG